AUUGAACCCUGGCGGCAUGCCUUACACAUGCAAGUCGAACGGUAACAGGUCUUCGGAUGCUGACGAGUGGCGAACGGGUGAGUAAUACAUCGGAACGUGCCUAGUAGUGGGGGAUAACUACUCGAAAGAGUGGCUAAUACCGCAUGAGAUCUACGGAUGAAAGCAGGGGAUCGCGAGACCUUGUGCUACUAGAGCGGCCGAUGGCAGAUUAGGUAGUUGGUGGGAUAAAAGCUUACCAAGCCGACGAUCUGUAGCUGGUCUGAGAGGACGAUCAGCCAAACUGGGGCUGAGACACGGCCCAGACUCCUACGGGAGGCAGCAGUGGGGAAUUUUGGACAAUGGGCGCAAGCCUGAUCCAGCAAUGCCGCGUGCAGGAUGAAGGCCUUCGGGUUGUAAACUGCUUUUGUACGGAACGAAAAGCCCUGGGUUAAUACCCUGGGGUCAUGACGGUACCGUAAGAAUAAGCACCGGCUAACUACGUGCCAGCCGCCGCAGUAACAC
rnacentral:rRNA from 1 species